AAAAAAAAAAUGCAUCAAACACACACUGUGGGCAACUUUCGACCUGUUUGGCAAAUGGGACCAGUUCCCUUUCAAGUUAUGUUCUAUUUUGUUCUACCACAUGGACCCUUUGAAGAUCAAAUGUAACUUAAACCAACCUAUUUUGUAACCAAAUAGAUUGAAAUUGUCACAUAUACUGAUAUCUAGAUUUACUUACAUGAACCUCGAGGUUGAUUUUCCAGCUUUUAGGACUUAUGUGUUUCAUAUCCAAGCUGCAGCGUUGCUCAAAACCUUCAUUCCAGCAGACACGUCCAUCAGUGUCUAUGCAUUGUUUCGAGAGUAAAAAAAGGGUAGCUGUAGCUGGAGAAAAUGAUGUAUCAAUGAUGCAAGGAAUAGUUAAUGGGAAGUAUAAAAAGUUGGUGGACGUCACAUGUAUGGAACAGUCUCCAGCUCUUUCUCAAGUCAACUUGUAGUACAUUUUUUUUCUUCCGAAGUAUACAAACAUGUAGUACAUUCUCUUUGUGACUAUAAUUUUGCUACAAUGUUCAAAUAAUUUAUUGUGUGGGGAGGGGAGUUUUUAGACUAAGAGGAAGAGAAUGUCCUCUCACCUGUGUGGCAUCCAAUCAUUAAGAGGAACAUUUCUGUAUCCUUUGGAGUGGGGUAAUAUUUUUAGAGACAUUCCUUUUAUUUUAAUAUGAAUUGGAAAAAUAAAUAAA